UACGGAGGGUGCAAGCGUUAUCCGGAUUCACUGGGUUUAAAGGGUGCGUAGGAGGGCAGAUAAGUCAGUGGUGAAAUCUCCAAGCUUAACUUGGAAACUGCCGUUGAUACUAUCUGUCUUGAAUACCGUGGAGGUGAGCGGAAUAUGUCAUGUAGCGGUGAAAUGCUUAGAUAUGACAUAGAACACCAAUUGCGAAGGCAGCUCGCUACACGAAUAUUGACUCUGAGGCACGAAAGCGUGGGGAUCAAACAGG
rnacentral:rRNA from 1 species